rnacentral:rRNA from 1 species
AUGAACGCUGGCGGCGUGCCUAAUACAUGCAAGUCGAGCGAACAGACGAGGAGCUUGCUCCUCUGACGUUAGCGGCGGACGGGUGAGUAACACGUGGAUAACCUACCUAUAAGACUGGGAUAACUUCGGGAAACCGGAGCUAAUACCGGAUAAUAUAUUGAACCGCAUGGUUCAAUAGUGAAAGACGGUUUUGCUGUCACUUAUAGAUGGAUCCGCGCCGCAUUAGCUAGUUGGUAAGGUAACGGCUUACCAAGGCAACGAUGCGUAGCCGACCUGAGAGGGUGAUCGGCCACACUGGAACUGAGACACGGUCCAGACUCCUACGGGAGGCAGCAGUAGGGAAUCUUCCGCAAUGGGCGAAAGCCUGACGGAGCAACGCCGCGUGAGUGAUGAAGGUCUUCGGAUCGUAAAACUCUGUUAUUAGGGAAGAACAAAUGUGUGAGUAACUAUGCACGUCUUGACGGUACCUAAUCAGAAAGCCACGGCUAACUACGUG